rnacentral:lncRNA from 1 species
ACUACAUUAGAAGUGCAACUACACUGAAACCACCACUCUACGAGGAAGCCAAAACCCCAUGGACAAGUCACUUGCAGCUGUUACAGUAGACAGUCUUAGCUGAGCAGACUUUGAGCAUCCUAACCUGGACACUGACACACAGCAGGAAGAACAAAUGGGAAGAAGUGGCAAGUCUUCUCUCUUUAAGAACACAUCUGUGAAACUUUCAUCAAGAAGUGAUAUCUACUUCUCACUUUGAAUCUAGGCUGGCAUUGUGACUCGUUUUGGCCAAUAGAAUGCAGCUGAUAUAAUAUUAUGCAACUUCUGAGACGUGGUCUUGACAGGCCUGGUAACUUCCAUUUUUAUCCUCUUGGAAUCCUGUGACUGCCACCCUCUGAAGAAGCCCAGUUUACCCCUACUGGAGGAUAAGAGACCAUGUAGAGUACUGAGGCUACCCAGCUGACAGCUAGCCCAACUGCCAGACAUGUGAGCAAGGCCAUCUUGGAUUUUCCAACCAAGGCCAUCUUGAAUUUUCCAACCAAGGCCAUCUUGGAUUUUCCAGCCAUCCAGCUGAUGCAGCCCAAUGAAUAAGCCCAGCAUCCCAGGGUUCACAGGUUCAGAUCCCAGGUGUGGACCUACAUACCGCUUGUCAAACCAUGCUGUGGCAGCGUCCCAUGUACAAAGUAGAAGAUUGG